rnacentral:ncRNA from 1 species
UGAAAUGCAUUGAUAGGGAAGAGUACAACGAACUAGUUCUUCAGAGAGGAAACCAUUUGGUGAGAGGUUUCUAGAAAAUAGAGUUGGAAUGUCGCCCUUGAGCAGUGGCUUCGAAAGCUUUUUGUGAUUAGAAGUUACCGGAUGAUCCGUUAUCUUUUUUAAGUGUGUCAGCUAAACACAAGUUUUUUCUGACAAAAAAAGGUGGUACCGCGAAUUCAACUCCAUUCGUCCUUUUC